UACGUAGGUGGCAAGCGUUGUCCGGAAUUACUGGGCGUAAAGCGCGCGCAGGCGGUUCCUUAAGUCUGAUGUGAAAGCCCACAGCUCAACCGUGGAGGGUCAUUGGAAACUGGGAGACUUGAGUGUAGGAGAGGAAAGUGGAAUUCCACGUGUAGCGGUGAAAUGCGUAGAUAUGUGGAGGAACACCAGUGGCGAAGACGACUUUCUGGUCUGUAACUGACGCUGAGGCGCGAAAGCGUGGGGAGCAAACAGG
rnacentral:misc_RNA from 1 species